CAUAAUAGCGCCUUCGUCGGUGCCCUUGAGUCGAUACGACUCCGCAACGGGCCUAAGAGGGAACACGGUAAAACCGUGGCUGCCCCCGCAACUGUAAACAGCGAGUCCAACGCAAUCGGCCACUGGGUAACCGGGAAGGCGCGGCGGACGAAGACCUGUCAGCCAGGAGACCUGCCGACGAACGCUGGUCGCG
rnacentral:ncRNA from 2 species